GACGAACGCUGGCGGCGUGCUUAACACAUGCAAGUCGAACGGAAAGGCCCUGCUUUUGUGGGGUGCUCGAGUGGCGAACGGGUGAGUAACACGUGAGUAACCUGCCCUUGACUUUGGGAUAACUUCAGGAAACUGGGGCUAAUACCGGAUAGGAGCUCCUGCUGCAUGGUGGGGGUUGGAAAGUUUCGGCGGUUGGGGAUGGACUCGCGGCUUAUCAGCUUGUUGGUGGGGUAGUGGCUUACCAAGGCUUUGACGGGUAGCCGGCCUGAGAGGGGGACCGGCCACAUUGGGACUGAGAUACGGCCCAGUCUCCUACGGGAGGCAGCAGUGGGGAAUAUUGCACAAUGGGCGGAAGCCUGAUGCAGCAACGCCGCGUGCGGGAUGACGGCCUUCGGGUUGUAAACCGCUUUCGCCUGUGACGAAGCGUGAGUGACGGUAAUGGGUAAAGAAGCACCGGCUAACUACGUG
rnacentral:rRNA from 1 species